rnacentral:lncRNA from 1 species
GCCUCAGAAGGAUGGAACCAUCAGAGAAGCAGCAUGAGGAUGCAGUGGCUUUCAUGCUGCAGGGCAAAAAGUGCCCCCCAAAGAAGAAUGGUGUCACAGGCUGGAUUCUGAGGAACCUCCAGAAGACCUUUCAGAGGCCGACCUCCCUGCAGCUCUCUUCUCCCAUGGCUUUUUCUCAGUGUUGCACAGCCUCUUGUCCAAACCUGAUAGUAAGUAGAAGUGAGGCCCAUGAAGAGAAGCACGGGGAUGUGGUAUCUGUUGCCCUUCAGCGUGGUGGGACUCGCUGCUCCUUAUUGCCAGCAUCAGCAGGAGAUGGCUGCUCCGACAACACAGCACUCCGGGGCUGGUGGAGCAGUCUGCAGGUCCAGAUGGCAUCCUGUUCCUGUGCCUUCAGACCCAGUCUCACAUCUCCUUCUCCUCUGCCUUGUUCGGCAGGCUCCCCUUCCAAGGCCAAGCUCUCCAGCCUCUUCUCCCUCUUCUCACCACCAUCGCGAAUCUCUGAGCCUGAUUACAGCUCUCUGCCUUGUGCUGGCUCCAAGAAGUCUAGCAGAGGGAGCUGGAAGAAGAGCUCUCAUUGUGAAGAGCCCCCUGGUCCCAAAUUAGAAGAAUCUGCACAUUUCCCCUUCACAGGACCCAUAAUUGCUCAGAUAACUGACUACAUCUACUUGGGGAACCUCAAUGCAGCCUACAGCGGCCGGGCGCUGUGCACAAAUGGCAUUGACAGCAUCAUUGACAUGAGCAGCCUGCCCAGUGACCACAGCCUGAGCAUCAUCCCCUGCACCUGUGGGAGGGGAGGAUUCAGGCACAACUGGUCACGCCUCAGGGUUGACAUCCAGGCUUUCCUGCAUGGAAAUCUUCGUGAAAUAAGACAGCCAUGCUUCCUGGUCAUCAACGAGUGCAUUGAAGCCUUGAUGGAGAAAGGGAAGCGUGUUCUCAUUCACUGCAGGGAUGGUUACUCCUUAGGCCCUACCUGUGUCAUCCAAUACCUGAUGGUCAAGCACAGCAUGAGAUUGCUAGCAGCCUAUGAGCUUGUGAGGGCACGGUACCUACUGAAAAUCCAAGAGUGCCAUCAGGACCUACUGGUGGGUUUGGAGAUGUCCCUGCAGCCUGGUGGUGUCAAUGUAGCAUGCCUGAAGCACUCCCUGUCAAGAAAGAUGGCAUGGAGCUAAACAGGCAUAGUGGCUGAAGAAGAAAAGCCAAAAGGAAAAUAGCCUUAACUCCAUCUCAUGAGUAAAUUAGAUGAUUGUCAGUGUGGGGUCUGUAGGACAGUGCUGACAAGAUGCAUAGGUGGUGGCCUUUCUUUGCAGUUCUUAGAGGCUGGUACUGGCAGAAGUAUAGCAUGGGGAGCUCUUAGGGACACAUUAGAGGGAAAGGGAAAAAGAUUCAUUUAAGCAUAGGCUGAAGGUUCUUCAGGAAAUCCCCUGUGCUCCAGGUUGAAGAAAACUUUUCUUGGGAACUUUUGUUCCUAAGGUGCAAGUACAUAUCACCUCCGUGUCAGGGGGUUAGAACUGCAUGAUCUUUUAAGGUCCCUAACCCUAACCCAAGCCAUUUUAUAAUUCUAUGUGCCUCAGUCUCAUAUUCUUUUUGGGAAAGAGGAACCAGCCACUGGAUUGCUCAGUUGUUCUGUCUGAGCUUUUACUGUGAGCACAGUUGCUGUUGGGCUGCUGGGCUUGGUUUUUUGUUUUUUUUUUUUUUUUUGCCAACAGUAUCUUCCAUGGAAAUUAGACGUAGUCAUCUGGUGUCAUGUUGGACUAGUCACUGCAUAGUCCCUGUCCACUUGGUGCUAGUAGGAUGCCGAAGGGAAGAAAAUCAGUGUAAAGGUGGGGAGAUGGCUAUGAGAGGCAGCUUGCAUGGAUCCAUCAGCCCAGUGCUUCCAUCAUGUGGUGGUUCUCUGGAGGAACCUGGUCCAGAAGUGUCACACUUGAGUGUCUACAACACAGUGCAGAACCUCCUGUAAGUGCGAACCUUUGUUUCUGAGCAGCUUUGCAGGCUGGUGGAAGUGCUCUGAGAUUGGUGGCCCAUGUCCCCGGUGCAUUGCUCUAGCAUGAGGGGAGGGGAGCAAGGGAUUGAGUCUAGUCAUCUACUCCUUGGGAAAGGUACCCAAACUUGAACACUGUGUCCACUCUUGGUUCCCAUGCAACGCUCGUGUUCGUGUUUCAUGUUCACAGAGCUAAGACAGCUGAUUGCUCCCAGUCUUCCCUGAAGGACUUGCCUGAAGUUUGCUUAUGCUCUCCUUGGGUUUUUCUGCAAGGAACUCAUUCAUCUGUCACUCAAGCACCUGCAUUACUUCACUUGGAAACCUCUGUUUCUCUUCAUGUUAACUAUUGCUUUGUGUUUUUUCAUUUUUUUAUUUUUCUUCCUGCUGCUCACUGGGUUUCUUCCUCAUUCUAGGUCUAGGGCCCCUUUCUUUUUUUGGAGGACUGCUGCCCUGUGGUUUAACCUCUUUGCAAGGCAGCUCCAGGGAAAUGUGUUUGCAGACUGAGAGGUUCAGCCCUUUGCUCACCCUAUUACCACAUCGCACCUCUAGGACUCCUGUAUCUUACAGACAAAUCUGCUAACCAACAUUUGGUUCAUGGGACUUUUCUUUAUGUUCUUUCAACCCACUCUCUGCACUGACCUGAAGCAAUGAAGUGAAAGGAGAGCUGCAAUCUGGAGGACUCGGUGGUAGACAGCAGUGCAUGUAGUUCUGUAGAGAGCUGGGGAAAAUGACUGGAGAAUCUUUGGAAAGGGUAAUAAAGAGAUGGUUUAACUUUAGAGCCAAAUGUGGCCUAUGGAUUUGGUACUGAAGUAAAAGUGAAGUGGCUGAAUUUCUCCUCAGUGGGUGGAUGCUGCUCCUGGCUGCUGAGGGUGGCUGCUGUCUGUUUCUGAAUGUACUUUAAUCUCUAUUUUUCUGAGAAACUGGCUUGAACUGGGAGAGGCAGGCAACUUAAGAGGAUCUGCAGGGUGAUACCUCUCAUCUACAGGCUGUGAAGUGAAACCAAGAGUCCUGAUGUAGCGGAGUUGUGAUUUCACUACCCAAACCAUCUAGCUCUCAACAUUUCAGCGUGGCUAAUCCUGAGCAGACCCAGCCUUGCCCAAACAGGUCACCAGUUCCCAUCUCGAGCUUAGUUUUUUUUUACAGUAUCUGCUGUGCUGUGUGCAUGAUGCUACAGGAAGUUUGCAGCAGCAUGUUUGCUGCUAUCUGUAACAUCCAAGAAAAAAAUUUGUCGCAGCCACAUCUGAAUUAGCUUAAAACCCUUUGGCUGACAGGGGAGGGAGCGCCUGGGCUGUGGGAGGAGGACAAGAGCUG